AAAAGUUAAUAAAAUUAAUCUGAAUAGCAACUAUACUCACACUGUAACAUGGAUGUGCAAAGAGAAUCUGCCUUCAUUCCUUGAGACUAAUCUUAUCUUCCUCAAAAGCCCCUGAACCUUGGGUAGUAAAGGAAGAAGAUCGCCUUUAAUUAGUACAGUACAGCCUGAUGCAAUAAUUUAAUGCUUUUAAACAAAAUAUGCGGCCACUCAGAUUUUACAUCUCUUUCUCCUGGUGGAGGUUGUGGCUCACAUGACCUCAUAAAUAAAGGAAAUCUUGCAUCCUCCUGUUUUCCUCUGAUUCCUUUGGUUUCCAUGGUGAUGUUUUGUUCCGCUGGUUGCUGCUCAUCUGGGAGACGCCGGCGGCUUCUGUCAGCUCCUGGUUCUCUUGUGGUGGUGAGGAACUGAAGGCCUGACCCCAGCAAGCAUGGCCUGUCCACAUUCCUGGCCCCAGGCCUUACUUUAAACCCCCAGCAGUUCUGAGGAAAUCAAUGUUUUUUUAUGUCUGUUACUCAUUCUUAGCACAUCAGUGUGAGAAGUUCAUUUAGUAGCCCACUCAAGAAAGCGAAAGGACGAGGGGAAGAGACUGAAGAGUCCCCAGGAGCUGGAAAGUUAUUGAAUCAGUGUGACCAGGAGACGACAAGAACUCUGCCUCUUGUGUCUGAGAUACGCUGUUGACUGGAUCUUACAUCCAAGGUUUACUCAGCUUUUCAUUCCCUCUCCUCUGUACAGAAGUCUCCCCAUCGCCACCAGCAUUCCAGUUGGACCUCAGGAGCGUAAAGGAUUUUGGAUGAUCGUCUCCCAUGCUCAGAUGUUCGGCCUCAAGCCUCAGUGUUUGACAGAAAUCAGUGAUUUUUCAGAGCACUGGAAGGUGCCCACAACUGACACUAGUGUAUUUUUUGUCACUUCAAAACACCCAUGGACGGUCCUCUGCUUUUCCAUACAAGAGUAAGCUCAGGAAUGCUUUGCUUCAUUCUAGGUCAGGCUGCCUGCAGAUAGAGACCCUUUCCUCUGCUGCCUUAUUGCCAGUUACAUUAAAUACAGUAGAUGACAAGAGUUUAUUAAUACUGUGCUGUAGUCAACAUCUGUGCGAGUGCAUACAAUGACCUUCAUGCAGAAAACGAUUCCAUUGAGCCUAUAGAUAGCAGUGAUUCCCUUAGUGAUAGUGAAAGUCAUCCUACACAAUAAGCCUCCUGUCUCUUGUCUCCCUCACACCAGCCACGAAGGUUUUCAAAGGUAAGUGCAGGUUAACUUGUUUAUUUUUUUAUUUUGGAUUGUCUUUAUUAUUUUGUGUUGUAUUACACUAUUUUUUAAUGUUUAUUUAUUUUUGAGAGAGAGAGCACAAAUUGAGAAGGGGCAGAGAGAGAGAGAGAGACAGAAUCCAAAGCAGGCUCCAGGCUCUGUGUUGACAGCAGAGAGCUAGACGUGGGGCUCGGACUCGUGAACUGUGAGGUCAUGACCUGAGCCGAAGUCAGACACUUUACCGAUGGAGCCACCCAGAUGCCCCUUAUAAUACAGUACUGUAAUCAUUUCUAUAUAAAUACCUUUGGGUUAUAGAACAAAUCAUCUGAGUUUCCAUUAUUUCUUGUGCGGAAAUUCGUUUUGAUACACAAGGGAGUGUGAAGCAUGUUUCUGAAACGAAUUAUCCUCACAAACCAAGGUUUUACUGUAGUUCCUGUGUGUAGUAGCCUGAAUAAUGGCUACCCAAAGACAUCCCUGAAACCAGUAAAUGUUAUCUUAUAAGGAAAAAGUGCCUGCAAAUGUGAUUGAGUGAAGGAUCUUGAGAUGGAAGGAUGGUCCUGGAUUAUCCAGGUGGGCCUGAAUAUCAUCACAUGUGUCCUUAUGACAGACAGAAGAAGAGGAAGCAACGUGACCACUGAGGCAGAGACAGCAGCGAUACACCCAUAAGCCAAGGAAUGGCAGCGGCCAUCUCGGAGAAGACAACCGAUUCUUCCUCAGAGCCUAUGGAGAGAAAGUAGGCCUGCCAAAAACCCUGAUUUCAGUCCGGAGAUACUGAUUUGGACUUCUGACCUUGAAAACUAUGAGAAUAAAUUCUUCUUAUGAGGCACCAAGGUUGGCUAGUUUGUUUCCUUGGUCAUUGCAAUAUAAUACACUUUGCUAAUAAAUUCUCCUAAAUGUUCCUGAUUAUCCUAUUGAGGUAUUAUCCUGUUAAUAUUCAGUAUAGAGCUCUUACCAUGAUGGUUUGUAGAAAAACAAAGUCCCUGAUAUUACAUACAAAAUUGUGGGCAUACCUAGAAAAAUCUUUUGCUAAAAAGAGGCUCUCUAAUUUUCAUCAGACUCUCAGAACAAUAAGUGUCUCAAUAGGUUAAAAAUCAAAUUACUGAGCCAAAUGAUAGCAGUUAGCCACUGUACCACUGAAAAAGAACCAGAUACCUUGAUUCCAUAGGGUAUGUUGAUAAGACACAGCCCACAGGGCCAGCCUUGAAGAACAAGUUGGCUUUUUAAUGACAUUUAUCAUCUUGGAUUUUAUGCAAAGCCACUCUUGUGUUUCAGAAUUCUUUAUUACUCUGACCUUCAUAAGAUGUUGUCCUGUUUCAAGGAAACAAUCUCUUAUACUCUAGAAAAUACUUUGUUUAAAGUUCAAGCUGUGUCUUUCCUGCAAAAUUUGAGCCAAACCUACUGUAUCUAAGCAGGCCAGAAGGGGCAGCUCAUUUACACACAGUCACACACUCACCUUUAAAACAUUUGGGGUAUCUUUUCUAGAAGUGUUCACGCAUUUAUCUGUUUAUUCUUGUAGUUCGAGAAAUGGAAGCAAAGACAAAUAGGAUACAGUUUUUGUCAGUUACUCAAUUUAAUAAGUGGGCUCUAAAGCAGUGGUCCAAAGCAAGCAAUAAUAAGGGCGCCUGAAUGGCUCAGUCGGUUAAGCAUCCGACUUCGGCCCAGAUCAUGAUCUUAUGGUCCAUGAGUUUGAGCCCUGUGUUGGGCUGUGUUGACAGCCCUGAGCCUGGAGCCUGCUUCAGAUUCUGUGUCUCCCUCUCUCUCUGCCCACUUGUGCUUGUCUCUAUCUCUCAAGAAUAACUCAAUGUUAAAAAAAAUUUUAAAGCAAUAAUAUUUAUUAUGAGAUCAAGAAGUGGGGACAUUGCCAAAGAGAGACGCCAAAAGCAGGAUCUCAGAGCAUAAGAGUUUGCAGGUUGCAGGAACACAUCAGGUCAGCUGCAAGAGAAAUAUCCCAUACUUAAGCUGUCACCUUUGGGUUGUGUUUGACCAACUCAUUUAAAUCUGUAUUGUUGGGGUAUUUUUUUUUAAGUUUUAGGUCAUGAAAUCACUAGUGGGAAAUGUAUGAAUAUAUGAUAUAUAAUGUGUCUACCCAUUUACAUAUCGAUGGACAUUGGGUUGUUUCCACUUUCUGUCUAUUACAAAUAAAGCUGUUCUAAAGAGUCA